rnacentral:misc_RNA from 1 species
GAUGAAGAACGUAGCGAAAUGCGAUAAGUAGUGUGAAUUGCAGAAUUCAGUGAAUCAUCGAAUCUUUGAACGCACAUUGCGCCCCUUGGUAUUCCAUGGGGCAUGCCUGUUCGAGCGUCAUUUGUACCUUCAAGCUUUGCUUGGUGUUGGGUGUUUGUCUCGCCUUUGCGUGUAGACUCGCCUUAAAAUAAUUGGCAGCCGGCGUACUUGUUUCGGAGCGCAGCACAUUUUGCGAUCCAGAUCAACGUACAGCGGCAUCCAAGAAGCCUUAUUUAACGCUCUUGACCUCGGAUCAGGUAGGGAUACCCGCUGAACUUAAGCAUAUCAAUAAGCGGAGGA